rnacentral:hammerhead_ribozyme from 1 species
AUCCAGCUGACGAGUUCCGAAUAGAACGAAACAUAUGUAUUGGAU